AAAGUGGCUCAGAUUCAGAAUGCUGGUUUAGGUGAAUUCCGAAUCCGAGACCUGAAUGAUGAAAUUAACAAGCUGUUAAGGGAGAAAGGACAUUGGGAAGUCCGGAUAAAGGAGCUGGGCGGUCCUGACUAUGGAAAAGUUGGCCCUAAAAUGCUGGAUCAUGAAGGGAAAGAAGUCCCAGGAAACCGAGGUUACAAGUACUUUAGAGCAGCAAAAGAUUUGCCUGGUGUUAGAGAGUUAUUUGAAAAAGAACCUCUUCCUCCUCCCAGAAAGACACGUGCCGUGCUGAGCUCAUGAAGGCGAUUGAUUUUGAGUACUACAGUUACCUAGAUGAAGAUGAUGGCAUUAUUGUGCCUUUGGAACAGGAAUAUGAAAAGAAACUCAGAGCUGAAUUAGUGGAAAAGUGGAAAGCAGAGAGAGAGGCUCGGCUGGCAAGAGGAGAAAAAAGAAGAGGAGGGCGAGGAGGAAGAAAUCAACAUCUAUGCUGUCACCGAGGAGGAGUUGGAUGAGGAAGGCAGCCAGGAGAAAGGCGGGGAUGACGGGCAACAGAAGUUCAUCACCCCCGUGCCUGUGCCAAUCUCAGCAAGAGACUGAGGAGGAGCUUGUGCAAAGGAAGAAAAUGGAACUCCUCUAGAAGUAUGCGAGUGAGACCCUGCAGGCCCAGAGUGAAGAAGCCAAAAGGCUCCUGGGGUAUUAG